AGAGCGCACGGAGGAUGCCUAGGCACUAGGAGCCGAAGAAGGACGUGGCGAACAACGAUACUGCCUCGGGGAGCCGUAAGCAGGCUUUGAUCCGGGGAUUUCCGAAUGGGGAAACCCAGCUGUCGUAAUGGACAGUUACUUCUGACUGAAUACAUAGGUCAGAGUGAGGCAUACCAGGGGAACUGAAACAUCUAAGUACCCUGAGGAAGAGAAAACAAAAGUGAUUCCGUCAGUAGCGGCGAGCGAACGCGGAUUAGCCCAAACCAAGGAGCUUGCUCCUUGGGGUUGUAGGACGUCUCACAUGGAGUUACAAAGGUGUUGGUUAGGCGAAGAGGUCUGGAAAGGCCCGCUAUAAGAGGUAAAAGCCCUGUAGCCAAAAGCCAGCACUCUCCGAGACGGAUCCUGAGUACGGCGGGACACGAGAAACCCCGUCGGAAUCCGGCAGGACCAUCUGCCAAGGCUAAAUACUCCCUAGUGACCGAUAGUGAAGCAGUACCGUGAGGGAAAGGUGAAAAGCACCGCGGAAGCGGAGUGAAAAAGAACCUGAAACCGUGCGCUUACAAGAAGUCAGAGCCCGAUUGAUGGGUGAUGGCGUGCCUUUUGUAGAAUGAACCGGCGAGUUACGUUCACGUGCAAGGUUAAGUCGGGAAGACGGAGCCGCAGCGAAAGCGAGUCUGAAUAGGGCGAAUAAGUACGUGGUCGUAGACCCGAAACCGUGUGAUCUACCCCUGUCCAGGGUGAAGGUGCGGUAACACGCACUGGAGGCCCGAACCCACGCACGUUGAAAAGUGCGGGGAUGAGGUGGGGGUAGCGGAGAAAUUCCAAUCGAACUCGGAGAUAGCUGGUUCUCCCCGAAAUAGCUUUAGGGCUAGCCUCGAGGUAUGAACGUCGUGGAGGUAGAGCACUGAUUGGGUGCGGGGCCCGCCAAGGGUUACCAAGUCUAGUCAAACUCCGAAUGCCAUAGACGUGCUUCUCGGGAGUCAGACAGUGAGUGCUAAGAUCCAUUGUCAAGAGGGAAACAGCCCAGAUCAUCAGCUAAGGUCCCCAAGUGUGUGUUAAGUGGGAAAGGAUGUGGAGUUGCAAAGACAACCAGGAUGUUGGCUUAGAAGCAGCCACCAUUUAAAGAGUGCGUAAUAGCUCACUGGUCGAGUGACUCUGCGCCGAAAAUGUAACGGGGCUAAACACACCACCGAAGCUAUGACAUGUACCAGUAGGUACUUGGGUAGGGGAGCGUUGAAUAUAGGUUGAAGGUAUACCGUAAGGAGUGCUGGACUGUAUUCAAGUGAGAAUGCCGGUAUGAGUAACGAAAAGACAAGUGAGAAUCUUGUCCGCCGAAAGCCUAAGGGUUCCUGAGGAAGGCUCGUCCACUCAGGGUAAGUCGGGACCUAACGCGAGGCCGAAAGGCGUAGUGGAAGGACAACAGGUUCAAAUUCCUGUACCACCGUAAACCGUUAUGAGCAAUGGGAUGACGCAGAAGGGCAGUGACGCGGACUGAUGGAAUAGUCCGUCCAAGCAGUGAGGCUGAUGAGUAGGCAAAUCCGCUCAUCGUAAGGCUGGGCUGUGAUGGGGAGCGAAAAUUACAGUAGCGAAGGUCAUGCACUCCGGCUGCCGAGAAAAGUCUCUAGCCAGGUGAAGGUGCCCGUACCGCAAACCGACACAGGUAGGCGAGCAGAGCAUGCUAAGGCGCGCGGAAGAACUCUCGUUAAGGAACUCGGCAAAAUGACCCCGUAACUUCGGGAGAAGGGGUACCUCGGUAGGGUGAAUAGCCCGAGGGGGUCGCAGUGAAAAGGCCCAAGCGACUGUUUAGCAAAAACACAGGUCUGUGCGAAGCCGUAAGGCGAAGUAUACGGGCUGACGCCUGCCCGGUGCUGGAAGGUUAAGGGGAGCGGUUAGGGGUAACCCGAAGCUGUGAACCGAAGCCCCAGUAAACGGCGGCCGUAACUAUAACGGUCCUAAGGUAGCGAAAUUCCUUGUCAGGUAAAUUCUGACCCGCACGAAUGGCGUAACGACUUGGGCGCUGUCUCAACGAGAGAUCCGGUGAAAUUUUAAUACCUGUGAAGAUGCAGGUUACCCGCGACAAGACGGAAAGACCCCAUGGAGCUUUACUGUAACUUGAUAUUGAACUUUGGUACGAUCUGUACAGGAUAGGUGGGAGCCAUUGAAGCAUGAGCGCCAGCUUGUGUGGAGG
rnacentral:rRNA from 1 species